GAUGAACGCUGGCGGCGUGCUUAACACAUGCAAGUCGAACGGAAAGGCCCAAGCUUGCUUGGGUACUCGAGUGGCGAACGGGUGAGUAACACGUGGGUGAUCUGCCCUGCACUUCGGGAUAAGCCUGGGAAACUGGGUCUAAUACCGGAUAGGACCACAUUUUGGAUGGUGUGGUGGAAAGUUUUUCGGUGUGGGAUGAGCUCGCGGCCUAUCAGCUUGUUGGUGGGGUAAUGGCCUACCAAGGCGUCGACGGGUAGCCGGCCUGAGAGGGUGUACGGCCACAUUGGGACUGAGAUACGGCCCAGACUCCUACGGGAGGCAGCAGUGGGGAAUAUUGCACAAUGGGCGCAAGCCUGAUGCAGCGACGCCGCGUGGGGGAUGACGGCCUUUGGGUUGUAAACUCCUUUCGCUAGGGACGAAGCGUUAUGUGACGGUACCUGGAGAAGAAGCACCGGCUAACUACGUG
rnacentral:rRNA from 1 species